rnacentral:lncRNA from 1 species
CUCUACUCAUCACUCUCCCAAGAACCUGCUACACACCCUUAUUUUUUUUCGUAGAUGGAGCAGAUGAUUCAUAACUACUAUUCUUGAUACCACUAGUGCUCGACCCAGUACGCUUUUCUUUUUCUAGUAAUUCGGCCUUCAAUGCCAUAUUAUCUGCAUCAUGAACUAUCCAUAAAGUUUGAAGCCCAAUUUUCUCAUGCAGAGAACUUUUCAGCCUUGUGAUAUACCUUGUGACCAUGUGACCAUGUGUUUCCUCCAAAUUAUUGUGCUCAGCCAAAUACAAAAAUUCAUAUGUAUACUCAAACGAUUUGAUUACCUCGGUGUUAAUUAUGGUAGAGUCGAUACAUGUGUUGCUCAUAACCGGCAGAUAGGAAUCUCCCCAUCAUCAGUUGCUUCAUACGAUGUCAAGUCCUCGCUGCUUGUUUACCCUGCAACUGACGCAAUUGUUGAAGCUGGUCCCACCAUACACCCGCAUUACCCAUCAAACGAAAAGCAGUAAUCUUCACCAUCUUCAUCUAUGGAACCUCCAUAAUCUCGAAGAAAGAAACGCUCCACCUCUACCAACCAAUCAUGAACGUCUUCAAUUUGUAGGCCAUUACAGUAUGGAAUAUCAGCCUUAAUUCGAAAAUCGUCAAUGUAUCGGUUACAAUUAUUCUGAUUCGGUGCAAUCAUGGGUUGUUCACAGAGCUCUUCUUCAGACUCUUCGUCACUCUCAAAAAGAUGACGUCUCUCAACAAUGGGACGUUGCAUACGGGCACUUCCAUUAGUUUAUGGAGAGCUUUGGUUUCCCAUGCCCAACAAUAAACGCAUAACCUCUUCCACUGCCUCAUAGAGGGUCUCAAACUCGGCACAAGUAACAACUUCCCCUGUACUAUGGGUCCUAUCACCUCCAUCUGGGUUGUUCACUGAGCCGGCCAUACAUGCUCUAAUGCCAACUGACGUAGCGUGACAAUUGAUUGGCUAAAUUUUAGCCUAAAACAUGUAACUUUUAAAUCCACCAGGAAGAUAUGAGGAAACCUCAAGGUUUAUUGAUAAUUGGAACCACAGGUAAAAUUUGUUUAAAUACUCCUAUAAACUCUAGGAAUAAACAAGGAAUUAAAAUAGGAAAAUAACAAAGUUUCCAAAAAUGUAAAAACUUUAAAACUGAAUUUCAGGCUGCUAAACGAUCUCGGAUGCCCGAAAAAUCUCAUACUUCAUGGCUAUGCCAUGAGUUUUUCUCAUGAUUCUGUUCUCUACGAAUCGACGGGUCAUGGGCUUGAUUUUGAGCUUGGAGUCCAAAUAUGCAGUUUGCCCGAUUUACACUUGCAUGCGCGUCUCUCCAGCUCCUCUUCGAUUGCUUCUGCAUAUAUUCUACAUCACUAUGGACCAUUCAUUUCGAUGAAGACGAGAGACAAAGAAAACAACCCAACACACAGAGGUAAACAGCUACAUGUUCAAUUAAUAUUUGAUAUAUCAGCACUGCAAUGCUUGCUUUCAU